UACUAGAUAUAUGUUGCUAUGGAAUUUGGGAAGAGAAUGAAGAUUCUUUUCUGCUUUAGUUUUUCCAUAAUAAUUAUCAAGGUUGUUCUUAGCUUUGUCGAUGAUGAGUUUCUCACUAUGUUCGAAGCUUUCAACAAAGUUUGUUCUUUUACUUUGAAAGCUAAAUGUAUAUAUUUUAGUUAUUUGUAGAUUUAUAGAUUAUCGCUAGUAAUCAAUACUUCACAUGGACAGUGUUAUGGUUUACUAAGGUUGUGUUUAGUGAUAAGCCACUUGGCCUUACGUUACAAGGUAUAUCUACAUGGAUGUUUUGGGUCAUACUUGAACCUCUCCCUACUUUUGGGGAAAAAAUUUACUUGAAGCUUUCUUCGCCAAGAUUUCACAGAAAUAUGGAAUAGGCCACCGUAGUAUUCUGGAGCAUUUGCAUUAUAUAUUGGCCAAACUACAAUUCAUCUGAUGUAUGAUAUGAUAUGCCAACUUUGGAUCUUGGUUUCUCUCCCUCUCUUUUCUUUUUUCCUACUUGUUUUUAUCCACGGGAAUUUAAGUUCUUUGCUGGUACCUGUAUGUAAAAUAUUAAUUGUGGUUUGUUCUAGUAAGAAUAUUUAGAACUGAAGAGGGAAUAAAAGGAGACUAAUAAUCUGAAAGGCAAGUGUCGGGAUGGUUAGAUUUAGAAUGGGAGAGGAGGGUGAGUGAGUGAGUGAAGGGUUCAAUUUCUUAUGUCUUAUUUAUAAUCAGGUUUGGCCUAGGAAAGUGAAGUAAAGGAUUAGAAGAGAUUUUUUGUAUGUCCCUCUUUAAUAAACAAUUUUCUUAAUAAGUGAGGUGUGGAGUAGUGAUAUAUCUCCCUCUUCUGAUCUAGGUGGAUUUUUACUGAGUGCAGCUUUAUUAAUUUCCCUCCAUCCCCUUCGAGUGUUUCUUCAUCUUACCAUACCAACAAAAAAAAAUUGGAAUGAUUUGGAAAGUAAAAAUGAUUGAGGUACAAAUCUCAAAUUUUUGAUAGUUGUCAUAAGCCAAACCAGCAGGAUAUAAAUUCAAUAUGACCCCCGCAAAUACACUUGCAUACAAGAAAAGCUUUCAGUGACUAGCUGUCUUCACAUAAUUAGUUGAAGAAAGAGCAGUUUCCGAGAUCAGCGAUUAUUCUGCAUUUCUUACUAUAAGGGUAUUGACUCUGUUUGAUUGAAAAAAUUUCCAGGGAAAAUCUUCCGUUUCUGUUUACCCUGGAGUCUUCAAGUUGUUUAUUGUUAUAUAAGUAUAACCCCUAGCUACUGGUUUAGGGAGUAUCAACUUCAAUUCUAUGUCAAUCUUUCACUCCCUUCUCCCCAACCCACCCCCGUUCCCUUCCACGCCACAUUUGUUAUUUUAAAUGCAUUCUAUGGAAAAUAUAUCCUUUCCAUUAACAUUUUAUAUAUAUCUAUAUAUGUAUAUAUCUGGCCAUUGUAUAGUUGAUGUGCAUUGACAAUUUACCUGUUUUCUUGCGUUAGUUUCCAUUAGGUGGUGCUAACCCCCAAAGAGCGCUUCCUUCUCAAAUUCUCAGUGAUCAGAUGUUUAAUAUGGGAGCAAAUCAAGCCGGUAUGAUGAGUUUACCCCAGCAACAAGUUGGUGCUUUCGGAAACAUGUCGCAGAAUCCUCAGAAUCUCCAACCGAAUAUGGUACCUCUCCAAAAUGCACCUCAAAACUUGCAGAAUUUCCAACAAAGGCAGCCGAAUCAACAGUGAUUUCGUUUAAGAUGCUGUUUUUUGCACAACUUCAAUGAUUUCUACAGCCUGUUUGGAUAUAUUUAAUAUAUGAUGGUAUUGAGAGUUAUUGUAGUAUGUGUCUUAUAGAAACAAAGCCAUACCCGUAAAUAUUGAUGUCCGUGGUAAUGGAAAACAUGUGUUCUUUGUAAAGUUCCAUUCUCACCCUUUUGCUAGAGAAUUUUGCAAACUCAUUUCCGUUACCAUAUUUUUUAUCAGCUGCCGAACAGGCUGCUAGUUUGUUUUGUAGCCUCCGUAAAUGCGAAUAUGCGUUGUUGUAGUUCAUCGGAAGUGAAAUGUUUCGGAUGUGCGCUUUUAAUAGUGAUUACUUUAUUCUGUAUGAGAAUAUCUUAGACGCUGUAAAUGCCCGACUGACUUGUAAGAUUA